UUCUCGUAGAGGAGCUGCUCCGCUGCGGGAGUGAAUAGCGGCUGCUCAUGACGCCACUGUGAACAGAUCUGAAAUUAACAUCUGAUUCCCUGAUUGCUGGAACACCACUGCUGAACCCAAGGGACCAAAGUCCUUGCUGGAGCGUGAAGCAGAGGGAGCUGAGGAGAUGCAAGAAAAAGAGCUCCAGGAAAAGAAGAGGUUGACGUGAAAGUCGAGACAACGAGAGUCUAGGGCAAGACCGAGAGCAUGUGACAUUAAUAGGAAUAGUAAGAAGAAAAUGAGCAUGGAAAGUAACAGGGAGGUGAGCCUGAAAGGUGAAAACACCAAGACAUUGCCCCCAGAAGCCUGGGAAAUGGAAAAAUCACAAAGCUGAGACGCGGGCCGAUUAGCAGUGAGGCCCCCCCAAAUUUGGUAUCAUAUUCAAAUACUGUAUUCCAUGUCAUAAAAAAUGAAAAUUCCCAACAUAUCACAAUUUCCUUGAUUUUAAUUGAGGCUUUUCCUGAAAGCAAAUUUGUGUUGAUAAACUAUCCUUUAAUUCUUGACCAAUUAUGUUAGUUUUAAUUCUUUCCUAAACCAAGAGUAAACUAAAGCAAGGCAUAUAGAGCUGAAUUUUUAAAUCCAAUAAUAGCUUUGUUGUCAAUUUCAAUAAUUAUUCUGUAUAUAUUUAAUAUGACAAUGCAUUUGGGUUUAAGUUGACUAUACGACUGUUUUUUCUAUUCACAUAUUUUUUAGAGUAAACAGAUUUUUUUCAUUAUUCAAUCUGUCCCUAUAAAAUUAUGAAUUGGACUCACUUUUAUUACUCUGUUGGCAGGUAUCCUAGAGUUUUAAAAUGAAUCUCUGAUUAAUUAAAUUCUUCAAUAAAGUAGUAGUUAUACCAAUUAUAGGCAAUGCAAAGGAUUGCCAGGAAUUGCAAUUAAAUACCUGAACUCCAUUUAUCUCUCCCACUCUUUUUGAUUCUGUUGCCAUUUAUGUUAAUCCUGCGUAUAAUUGAAGUCCAAAAGACGUUUAUUUUUACAUCCGCAUUCAUCUUCUCUUUCCCGUGUCUGCACGUUGUGGUCCUUGCCAUCACUUCCUACAAUCCAGUGUUUCCUCUGGGAUCAGUUUUCUUCUGGCUGGAGAACUCCCUUCAGUUUUCCUUCUGUGUGGAUCUGUUGGUAAUGAAAGCUCUCAGAUUUUGUUUGUCUAAAAAAUACUUUUACUUUGCGUUCAAUUUUGAAAGCUGUUUUUGCUGUCUCCAGAGUUCAAGGUUGUCAGUUAUUUUAUACAAAUGCUUUAAUGAUAUUAUUCCAAGGUCUCUGGCACCCCUCAGGUCUAUUGAAAAGUCAGAGACACGUCUUAUUUGUGCUCCUUUGAAAGUA
rnacentral:lncRNA from 1 species